rnacentral:lncRNA from 1 species
CUUCUUCUACAUGUGGCCAGUCUUUAGGCAUUGUUUCAGGCUUUUACUCUGAAAAAUGAGGGAUAUACAGCACUUUCAAUGAGUGGACAGUGGAAAUUUCCAGCCAUGAGUCCAGCGCAUGACCAGGAGCGCACCUUUCUUGUUUCUCCUUUUCUAUUGAUGAAGCUUUUGUCCGGUUUAAAUAUUAUUGAUUAUUUAUGACAAAAACAACCCGAGGAUUGAUUUUAAACAUCGUUUGACAUGUUUCAACAAACUUUUAUUGUACUUUUUAGAUUUUUUGUCUGUCUGUUGUGACCGUGCUUUGUUCCAAUGGAUUGCUGAACAAAACACACCAACAAAACUGAGGUUUUGGACAUAAAGAGGGACAUUAUCGAACAAAACAAACAUUUAUUGUGUAACAUGGAGUCUUCGGAGUGCAACCAUAUGAAGAUCAUCAAAGGACAAUGACCCAGCACAUCUCCAGGCUGUAUAAGGGCUAUUUUACCAAGAAGGAGAGUGAUGGAGGGCUGCAUCAGAUGACCUGGCCUCCACAAUCCCCCGACCUCAACCAAGCUGAGAUGGUUUGACAUGAGUCGGACCGCAGAGUGAAGGAAAAGCAGCCAACAAGUGCUCAGCAUAUGUGGGAACUCUUACAAGACUGCUGGAAAAGCAUUCCAGGACCUGAGCCCUAGGACCAUGCCUCAGGACUACCUGGCAUGAUGACUCCUUGCUCUCCCCAGUCCACCUGGCCAUGCUGCUGCUCCAGUUUCAACUGUUCUGCCUGCGGCUAUGGAACCCUGACCUGUUCACCGGACGUGCUUGUUGCACCCUCGACAACUACUAUGAUUAUUAUUAUUUAUGAACAUUUUAACAUCUUGACCAUGUUCUGUUAUAAUAUCCACCCGGCACAGCCAGCAGAGGACUGGCCACCCCUCAUAGCCUGGUUCCUCUCUAGGUUUCUUCCUAGGUUUUUGGCCUUUCUAGGGAGUUUUUCCAAG